UACGUAGGGGGCAAGCGUUGUCCGGAUUUAUUGGGCGUAAAGAGCGUGUAGGCGGCCACACAGGUCAGCUGUGAAAACUCGAGGCUCAACCUCGAGACGUCGGUUGAAACCGUAUGGCUAGAGUCCGGAAGAGGAGAGUGGAAUUCCCGGUGUAGCGGUGAAAUGCGCAGAUAUCGGGGAAGAACACCCGUGGCGAAGGCGGCUCUCUGGGACGGUACUGGACGCUGAGACG
rnacentral:rRNA from 1 species